rnacentral:lncRNA from 1 species
CAAAGCCUUAAUCUCCCAAACCCAAGCGACGGUUCUUCUUCUCCAAAGAAGAACACUAACCAAGCCUCAAUUUCAACCCAAAUCCAAGCAAGUGAGUCUCAGAUCUCUCCUAACGCAUUCCUCCUCCUCUCCUUAUUACCAUUUCUGACGAUUUCUGACACCAAAGAUUCCAUCUCAUCUCACUCGCUCGUUUUGAGACCUAUCUCGUGGUUGGAAGCUUCAGGAGAUGAAAUGUGGGAGGAGUGUGAGGUGUUAGAUUGAUUUCACUCAAUACGAGCCCCACAUUCAUCAAGGAUUGGUCUCCAAAAGAGGCUUUAUCCAAUUUUGAAGGGGGGACUGGAAAAAACAAUUGGGAGAAAAAAGAACUUCUGGUUUUCUGAUUUGAAUUUCUUCUUGGAAGAGUUCUAAGAAAGUUUAAGAGAAAACAUAUAUACGAUUUUUCUUUCUAAAUUCGUUUUUUGAGUUCGGAAGAGAUAAAAGAAUGAAUUGAAGUUCAAACUUGAUGUUUAUACUGUUGUCCUGCUGAGAGACUGUUGAACCUUGCUAGGAUUUGGACUCGAAAAGUGCAUUGUCGCAUUUGUAAUUAUUAAAGGAAGUUUGAAAUUUCAGGUUCAAUUUCUUUUCUCUUCUACAUCUUUGUUUCAAAGUGUCUUGAACUGUGAGAUUUUGUUCAAUGGUGUUCUGUUCUGCAAUUGAAUUUCUUGCUGGUGAAUCUCUUCCCAAUGGUAUGAUGUGCUUGAGAACGUUAAAUUAGUAAGAGUCGCUUUUGAGUAGUCGUACUCUAUGCUUUCUAUGCUUUGACUGUUACUUUGAUGUCGAGUUAUCAUUUUGAGUCAAUGAACAAUGUGUUCCAUUUUGUGAUGGUUAAGCGAGCAUGAAACUAUCACGUUUAUUCUCAUGAUGUUUGUUUUCUAGACUUUAAGUGAUUUGUUUCUCGUGAAAUCAUCCUCAUUUACUAGAGGCAUCAAGCGGGAUCAUCCUCUCAUUUGAACAGUUGGUUUUUCAAAGUGUUGUUGGUCAGAAUUUUGGUCAUGUUGUCAAAGAACGAUCGCUUCAUAGAUGAGCUUUUCUUGUGCUUCUUCUGCGCAUAUGGCAUGCUUCGACAUUCAAGUUGAUCUGAUUUUAUCUUCUAUCUUGAUCUAAAUGUGUUCGACAUGAUUCAAUGGAGAGUUUCCCCUUUCUCUGAAUUCAUGAUCAUUUUCACAUGUCUUACUGGCUUGAAUCUGUUGAAGUUCCCCUAUGAUAAUAUUUUCUUCGUAAGGCUCACCAUGUCGAAGGGAUCAUUGGUUGUUCAUGUUUGUUUUCAGCAUGUAAUGCCUGUCACUAAACUUCUUAAAACAGAAUUAAACAUGAAUUUUGUGUAGUAGCAUGACAAUACUACUAUGGCUGCCAUUAAAGUUGGUAUAUGUGGGGAUGAGUUCUUGUUUGUGUGUGGAGUUUAAACCUGCAAUAGCUAUAAGACUCCCUCUAAUCACUAUUCAUUUGAUUGUUAACUAGUUCGGCAGUUUAGGGAUAUUAAUCAAACUUUGAUUGGUUUGGUUUUCACUUAUAUGGUUGGGGGUAAAUAAUUGACCAUCAUCUGAGUGAAUUGUCAAUAAGCGGCAUCUUCAUGUUUUCAUAUCUUAGGUAUUCUAGAGUGUAUCUGUUGGUUUUGUUCGAUCAUUGUUAGUUGCGCAACCCCGUCUAUUGUAGAUGGUAGAGUAUUUCGACAUCUGAAACUUCUUGAGCUAGAUUGUUUUGAGCCAUGGGGUACUGUGUUGUCAUUAUUUCGUUGAUUCUGCGUAGCUAGACCCCACCAGUUCUUCAUCACCUCUAUUUGGUCUAAUUCUUGUUUGUUUCGUUGUUGUACAGAGUGUGUUUGCAGUUUAAAUGACUGCUAUAGAGGAUUUUACUGUUAUGAAAUCUGCAUAUAUGUAUUUGUUUCAAUACUCUAUCAAAGGAAUUGUGAACCAUUAUCAUGCUUACUCUGAGUUUGUUGCGAGUCUUGUAGCUCUCUUGCUGGUGUCAUCUCAAAGCAAGGGAUACUCUUUCCAUGUUUUGCAUCUGUUUUCUUUGGUUGCAUAUUAAGAAAUGAAUUUAUGUCCAUGUUUGGCAGCCUGAAGAUCUAUGAUUCUACAUCUGGCUUAGCAGUUUGUUUUCCUAUAGUCAUCGCUUAACUCUAGGCUAGCUCUUAUUCUUAAGAUUGAGUUAAUAUGUGGCUACGUUAAUCAAUUUCAACCCGGGUUUGCAACAUGAACUUUUUUAUU